AUUGUUUCAAAAUUUAAAGAGACAAAAGAAAUAUGGCGCACAUGGUUGCACAUGGUGUGAUGGUGGCAGCGUAGGUGAUUGAAUUUCCAGUUUUUUCUAGGUGUUUAGGUUUGUCAAUAACUUCUGCUGAAGAGAUGCAGUAACAGGAGGAGAAGCUAGAAAUUAAAAAGAGGAAGAAACUAUGCAUCAUCAGAGGGUGUAUUAACGAAAACAGCAGGAUGUUCUCCUUCCCCUUAGAGAGAAAGAAGAGGAUGGCACAGUGGGUGGAAGUAUGUGACAACCCAAAGAAAUUUUGAGUGAUCUGUAGUAGAUACUUUAAAGAAAAAUACUUCAUGAGGAAAAGAUUAACAACAUCAGCAGUUCCAACACUGAACUUACUUGGUAAUUACUCUUAUGUAUACUUUUUAUAGCAUAUGUAAAUAAUUGUUAAUGAAAAUAUUUAUUACAGUGUCAGAGACUACCUCUAUUAAAA